rnacentral:rRNA from 1 species
UACGGAGGGAGCUAGCGUUGUUCGGAAUCACUGGGCGUAAAGCGCACGUAGGCGGACUCUUAAGUCGGUGGUGAAAUCCUGGAGCUCAACUCCAGAACUGCCUUCGAUACUGAGAGUCUCGAGUCCGAGAGAGGUGAGUGGAACUGCGAGUGUAGAGGUGAAAUUCGUAGAUAUUCGCAAGAACACCAGUGGCGAAGGCGGCUCACUGGCUCGGUACUGACGCUGAGGUGCGAAAGCGUGGGGAGCGAACAGG